rnacentral:rRNA from 1 species
GAUGAACGCUGGCGGCGUGCUUAACACAUGCAAGUCGAACGAUGAAGCCCAGCUUGCUGGGUGGAUUAGUGGCGAACGGGUGAGUAACACGUGAGUAACCUGCCCUUAACUCUGGGAUAAGCCUGGGAAACUGGGUCUAAUACCGGAUAGGAGCGCCUACCGCAUGGUGGGUGUUGGAAAGAUUUAUCGGUUUUGGAUGGACUCGCGGCCUAUCAGCUUGUUGGUGAGGUAAUGGCUCACCAAGGCGACGACGGGUAGCCGGCCUGAGAGGGUGACCUGCCAAACUGGGACUGAGACACGGCCCAGACUCCUACGGGAGGCAGCAGUGGGGAAUAUUGCACAAUGGGCGCAAGCCUGAUGCAGCGACGCCGCGUGAGGGAUGACGGCCUUCGGGUUGUAAACCUCUUUCAGUAGGGAAGAAGCGAAAGUGACGGUACCUGCAGAAGAAGCACCGGCUAACUACGUG